rnacentral:rRNA from 1 species
UACAGAGGUCUCAAGCGUUGUUCGGAUUCAUUGGGCGUAAAGGGUGCGUAGGUGGCGUGGUAAGUCAGGUGUGAAAUCUCGGAGCUCAACUCCGAAACUGCACUUGAUACUGCCAUGCUCGAGUACUGGAGAGGAGAUUGGAAUUUACGGUGUAGCAGUGAAAUGCGUAGAUAUCGUAAGGAAGACCAGUGGCGAAGGCGAAUCUCUGGACAGUUACUGACACUGAGGCACGAAGGCCAGGGGAGCAAACGGG